UCGGGAAUUUUGGGCAAUGGGCGAAAGCCUGACCCAGCAACGCCGCGUGAGGGAUGAAGUAUUUCGGUAUGUAAACCUCGAAAGAAUGGGAAGAAUAAAUGACGGUACCAUUUAUAAGCUCCGGCUAACUACGUGCAAGCAGCCGCGGUAAUACGUAGGGAGCAAGCGUUGUUCGGAUUUACUGGGCGUAAAGGGCGCGUAGGCGGCGCGGUAAGUCACUUGUGAAAUCUCUGAGCUUAACUCAGAACGGCCAGGUGAUACUGCUGAGCUAGAGUGCGGAAGAGNCAACCGGAAAUCUUGGUGUAGCGGUGAAAUGCGUAGAUAUCAAGAAGAACACCUGAGGCGAAGGCGGGUUGCUGGGCCGACACGGACGCUGAUGCGCGAAAGCCAGGGGAGCAAACG
rnacentral:rRNA from 1 species